rnacentral:lncRNA from 10 species
UUAAUGAGCUUAUAUUUCAUUUGUGCUAAUUCAGUGGUGCUCAAUAAGAUAAACUUCUGUUGCUUAUACUAGUUAAAAUAGAAACAGCCAUAAAAUAUGCUUCUUAUUCUCCUUUAACCAAGCUUCUCUUUUAUGAUUUGUCUAGUUGUCUGGGCUUUUGCUGUUGCAACUGGAAGAGGCAAAGAAUAAUGAUUAUUAAAAAGUAGGUAUGUGCAAUAUUGAGAUCAUCCGGUGGUUCUUCAUUGCAAUCCAACAGGCAAAGGAGUAAGAAAGAAUCCUGGAAUCUUAAUUCUGGUUCUCAAGGACACGGGAAUGAUAGAAUUGGAAUAUUCCAUAAUUACUCAUUUGCUUUACCCCACAUUGCAAAUGCCACUGUCACAGAAGAACAAUACUAAUACUACCACCACCAAUUAUAGUCACAGAAACAGGAUGAACCUCCUUGCAAUGGGGCUGCACCUUUAACCGUUGAAUAACUGCUUCUGCCUUUUCAUCAAGAGGUCUCUGAAGGACUGCCAGCCAUUUCAGAGGAAAGCCACAUUUGCCUUCUUUACUGGAGUACUGAGUCUUGGAACAACAAGAUCCAUUUUUGUCAGAUACCUCAUGAUUCCCUAUCACAGAGAAAUACAGUAUGAUCCCUGACCUCAUCAACAAGAAUGCUGCACCAGCUAGAGAGAAAAAGACAGGGUAGAGAAGAGUAGUAUUGGUAAAAGAGAUGAAAAUGGGAGCAGUGAUUAGCUUGUUCCUAAGACACAAUCUCAGAGAUAAAACCUUAAUGUUCAGUCCUUAUCUACUGUUCCUUUAAACGGUAUCCUUAGAUAUGGCCACCAAGAACACCCAUUCAAAAUAAUCUGGUAAUCUGUUUAGGUUUGGUGAAUUACAAUCCCAACAACACCAACAAUCAGUAUCCUGAGAGGCUGACAGGGUUCCUGACAGUGUUCUAAGCAUUUCAUUUUCAUUUUCUCUUGGGUGUCAUGUAGCAGAAAAUAACCAGGUAUCAUCCAUUUCUCUUCAAGCUUUCCAUUUAGGUGAAGAGAAUAAAAUAAAUACAAGGGUAGUUCUAUGACAAAAUAGUCCAUAGAUCUUGGAAAAACCAUAGCCCACAGAAAUGAAGAGGUUUGUGUUAGCAUCCAUGAAAUUAACAAGUUUGAAGAAAGGACCACCGCACUGAAGAGCAGAAUUCAUAGUGUCACAAAAUAGGUCGUGACAUACCAUUCCCUCUGUUCCCUUAAAAAUGCCAGCUUCUCCAUCAAGUCACAAUUUUAUCAAGCAUUCAUUGUACUUUAAAUUUCAUAUAUUGUAUAUAACUAUUCAAAAAGUCCAGGUCAUGUGCUAACCAUAAAACAUUUCCUUAGUUAAGGGCAGGUUAGGAACAUCAUGUAUUAGAAGACACAGACCUUUAAGUACAAGAAUUAAAUAUGAAUACUUAAUUUUUGAUGACUUUCAUAGGUGAUGUUUUCUAAUCUAAAAAUAGGAUAACAUAUUUUGAGAACAAAAUUUAUUUCAUUAACAGUCAUGUGUAGUUAUAACAUUGAAACAUUCAAAUUAUAACUAGAAACAUAAACGUUUUUAGAUUUUGUGGAAAGAGAAUUUUUAAAUGAUUUUUUUUACAUAAAUAUUUAGUUGCUGGCAUAAAGGCUAAAGUAUUAGAAGCCAGGGGGAAGGAAACUGUAACAGUUUUAAAGGUAACAAUAGGCUCAAAAUAUAAAAAAGGACCAAUUCAGCUGGUUUAAAAAAAGAAAAGAAAGCACAAUAGCUCAACAGUAAGUUCACCUAUUAUAUAAUUACAGGUUUUGUAUACAAGUGCAGACAAGCAGACAGAAUAAAAACCUCCUCUAGGAAAUCCAAAAAACUUGGCAGGUCUGUCCAGGUGGGAUGUGAUGCUGGUACCAACAACAAAAAGAAAUAGCCUGUAACUAGGGCUUGGCCUAAGUCUGAAUUUGGCUUCUCUUUGCUAAACAGCAGUUUGCUGCAAAACUCGGGGAAACAAAGGGAAAAUGGAAAGUGUGAGAGAAUGAAGGCAUAGAGCUCAGGUAACUAAAAAAAGAUGUUGUCAAUCACAGGCUUUGCCAGGCAAUGUUUUUGCCAUCACUUCUGAGGACAACUCACUUGAGAUCUUUCAAGAACUUCUGAAGACGGGUAUUUCAUAAACAAAGCUCUUCAUCAGAAGGCAAAGGAGGAGACAAAUAGAACUGUUUUUAGAACAUGAAAUGCAGUAAUUAUAUACAAUCCAUAGAUGUGUCUUAUACUUAUAGAAGCCCAGGUUUGACUGGGGUCAUGGAGAUGGAUGACCCCAGACUUUCGCAGAAUGCUUAUCUUUCACCCUGUUGUUUUGCACACUGUUACUUGUUAUCUAUGGAACUCAAAAGACAAUCAAUUCAGCAAUUCCACAUCUGAGUAUAUACCCCAAAUAAUUCAAAGCAGGGACUUCAAGAGAUAUUUGUAUACACUCAUGUUCACAGCGCAUUGUUUACAAUAGCCAAAUGGUGGCAGCAACCCAAGUGUCUAUCAACAGAUCAAAGGAUAUACAAAGUAUGGUAUAUACAUACAUCAGAAUAUUAUUCAGCCCUUAAAAGGAAGGAAAUUCUGACACAUGCUUCAAGAAUGAACCUUGGGGACAUUAUGCUACAUGAAAUAAACCAGUCACAAAAGGACAACAUUUUAUGAUCCCACUUACAUGAGGUUCAUAGAGCAGUCAAACUUGUAGAGACAGAAAGUAGCAUAGAGGUUGCCAGAGCUGAGAGGAGUGGGGAAAGGAGAGUUAGUGUUUAAUGGGUACAGAGUUUCAGUUUUGCAAGAUGAAAAGAGUUCUGUGGUUGGGUGGUGGUGGUGGUUACACAACAAUAUGAAGGUACUUAAUGCCACUGAACUGUAAACUUUAAUUAAAUUAAUUAAUUAGUUAAUUAAUUAUUUAUUGAGACACAGUCUUCAUCUGUCCCCCAGGCUGGAGUGUCAUGGUGCAAUCUCGGCUCACUGCAAUUUCUGCCUCCUGGGUUCAAACAAUUCUCAUGCCACAGCCUCACAAGUAGCUGGGAUUACAGGCGUGCACCACUACACCUGGCCAAUUUUUUGUAUUUUUAGUAGAGAUGGGGUUUCACCAUGUUGGCCACGCUGGUCUUGUUCGAACUACUGACCUCAAGUGAUCUGCACACCUCAGCCUCCCAAAGUGCUGGGAUUACAGGUGUGAGCCACUGCAUGUAGCCAACGGUACACCUUAAAAUGGUUAAGAUGAUAAAUGUUACGUUAUAUGUAUUUUACCACAUUUUUUAAAAAUCAAGUAUUUGGGGGCAUGGAGAGAGGAGGGUCUAAUGCCAGACAGAGGUGGGACCAAUUAGUGACUGAUUUCACACAAACUAUAGCACAUGCUGUCAGAACCUUGCCCAUAGCCCUUUGGCCAGUUACCAUUUUUCCUUGUCAAUCUGAAUUCCAACUGCCAGCACCAGCACCUCUUUGCCUGACAGAUUGCAAUGAAGCUGCUGGAACCUGCUUUUCCUGAGCAUGUAGCAGACCAGGCAUGUCAGGGCAUUAAACUCUCUAGGGAAGUCAAUGGCUGAUGGGAACUGGUGUACGAAUAUUCCAGUUCCCUCACUACUUAAAUGGAGUGGAUAACUGUGAAGCAUGUGUUUUAUACAGUGUCCCAAGUUCCAUAGCAGAAUUAUGCUCUUAUUUCCAUUAGAACUUGCUUAAUGAUGCACCUUUAUUGGCUUUUUCCUUUCCUUUUUUGUGAUGGCUAAUUUUUGUAUCAACUUGGCUAGGCCACUGUACCCAGAUAUUUGGUCAAACAUUAUUCUUGAUGUUGGUAUGAAAGUAUCAUUUAGAUGAGAUUGGCAUUUGAAUUAGCAGACUUUGGGCAAAGCAGAUUACCUUCCUGAAUGUGGGUGGGCCUCAUCCAAUCAGUUGAAGGCCUUAAUAGAAAAAGACUCUUCUGCCCUGAAGAAGAGGAAAUUAUGCCAGCAGGCUGCCUUCAUACUUGAAAUGCAAUGUUAAUUCUUCCCUGGGCCUCCAGCAUGCCAGCCUAUCCUGUAGAGUUUAGACUUGCGCCUCCACAAUUGUGUGAGGCAAAUCCUUAAAAUAAACCUCUCUCUCUCUCUCUAUAUAUAUAUAUAUAUAUAAUAUAAAAAAUUUGUGCGUAUAUGUGUAUAUAUUAUACAUAUAUACAUAUAUAUGCAUAUUUUCUGCUGCUUUGGAGAAUGCUAAUACAUUUUCCUAUUCCUGUGCCACUGUUCUCAGAAUACUUUUCCAUUUAAUCUAUAUUUGCCCUUGAAUCCUUGACUUAGAGCAGUGGUUCUCCCUCCACAGCACAUUUGGCAAUGUCAGGAGACAUUUUUGGUUGUUAUAGGAGUGGGUCUAGUGGGAAGAGGCCAGGAUGCUGCUCAACACCCUAUAAUGUACAGGACAGCAGCCUCUUACAUGAAAGACUCACCCAGCUGAUAUGGUUUGGCUGUGUCCCCACCCAAAUCUCAUCUUGAAUUGUACUCCCAUAAUUCCCACGUGUUGUGGGAGGGACCCGGUGGGAGAUAAUUGAAUCAUGGGGGCGGUUUCCCCAUACUGUUCUUGUGGUAGUGAAUAAGAUCUGAUGGUUUUGUCAGGAGUUUCUGCUUUUGGGUCUUCCUCAUUCUCUAUUUACCUGAUGCAAUGUAAGAUGGGACUUGCUCCUCCUUGCCUUCCACCAUGAUUGUGAGGUGUCCCCAGCCAUGUAAAACUGCAAGUUGAAUU